rnacentral:rRNA from 1 species
UAAGAAGGGGGCUAGCGUUGUUCGGAAUCACUGGGCGUAAAGCGCACGCAGGCGGAUCGAUAAGGAAGGGGUGAAAGCCCGGGGCUCAACCUCGGAAUUGGCUUCGAUACUGUCGGUCUCGAGUGCGGGAGAGGUGAGUGGAAUGCCUAGUGUAGAGGUGAAAUUCGUAGAUAUUAGGAAGAACACCAGUGGCGAAGGCGGCUCACUGGCCCGGUACUGACGCUCAGGUGCGAAAGCGUGGGGAGCAAACAGG